AGGACUUGGAAAAAUAUGGCUUUUACUUAAUUCAGCAACUGUAAAAGAAGUCACAUUGACGCUUGCUACGUGUCACAGUAUCCCCAGCUGUCAAGUACACGGGCAUAUUGUAAACUGAUCAGAAAAUCUGUUUCAAGGAUAAUCAAAAUUCAAUCAACUUUCUAAUGUGAGAGCUGGAUGGCAGGACUAUAAUCCAUAGCUGUAAACUGGGAUAUUCAUUUUCACCAACACUAAAUCAACGAUUGAUUAAACAUCUUUACGUGUAGGUGUUAUUUAAUUAAUUUCCCAGCAAAUGGAAAACAUGCAAAUUCGCCAAUUAAGUCAUUUGCCCAUGGAGGGCUGGACUGCUUGACGUUCAGCUGCCACUGCGCCUUUAGUCUGAAACCCCUUUUUAGUUUUUUGUUAAGAGUUAAGUCUCCAACAAAGACGGGAAGGAGGUCAGCACUCAGCCAACACCUGAAUGCGCCUCUCUUUUUUUGUGCUCCCCUUGAUCCCCACAGUCUGUGCCUGUCAUUAGUCUUAAUGAUGGAAAAUUGUCAUGUUGAUACAAGUCCUGCUCUCCCCCUCUCUUCUUUGUAUAAGUAGAAGGUGGAAGCUCCAUCCGUAACAAAACCGUGGACACUGCAUUUGUGCCGCGGGGGGAGAAAAAAAAGGGCUGUAGAUGCUCUUUCCAUAGCUGGGAUAAUUAUUCCUACUGUGACCUUAAUGAUUCUCUCUGUUCAUCCUGCAUCUCAUCCACGCGCCGGGCCCUCAGCAGAGCCCUGUGUCAGGGAAUAUGAAAAACCCAUAUAAUGAAACCAUUUUGGCUGAUGGAAAAAAGGGUUACUGAAGCUGCACUUGCCACAAAGACGGCUCAAUUAUAUGAGUAAUUGUGAUAAUUUUCCCUCCAUUCAGUGCUUUCUGUGAAAGGUAAAAAACACAGAUGCUGAAAGGGAAAUUACUUGGACAAUAUAUAAUCUGUGAAAUGGUCACAACAGAAAAAAAAGAUGACUGCAAGAAAGUGUAGGACUAUAAAUAGGUAUGUUAAUGCAGGGCACAUAAACACACCCUCUGAUGCUCAAAGCCCCUGUGCAAGAGUAGAAAAAAAAACAUGCAACAAAUGACCAUUGAAAAAAGGCGGAUAAAAGUAGAUAUGCAGCUGCCAGAAAAUUAAACCUCCUUCUCCUUCCAAUUGACAAAUUUACGCUCCUGAAAAUGCACCCCCAUAGUUGGCUAUCAUUUGUUGUUCUCUGACAGGAAAAGGAUAAUUACCUCUCUCAGAGGCAGGAGGACUGACAUGCCCUUUAGACUUUGCCAUGAAUGCAGAAGCUUGAUGGAAAGCUCAAGGAAUAAUUUUCUUCUUUGCCUUUUUCUUUAUGUUGAAGAGCAUGUUUUGUUCAGGAGAACUUUGAGAUGGCAGUAUUGUGGAGAGCAUUAAACCAUGGGUGUUCAUACGUGGGUACUGGAUUAAACAUUUCCUCUUUCUCCUUGAAAAAACCCCGCUUCUGUCCAUGAAAGAGGAGCAGGGCCAUAAGUUCGAGUUCGGUGGAGAAAGAAAUGCAUUGUAUUCGAGGAAGUGUACAACACAUGUACAUCUGCAUGAAAGCAAAGGCUAAACGAAGUCAUCACCUCGACGCGUAAGACGUCUCCAUGCUUUGUUUCUGUGUUUUGGGGGAACUAGACAGAAUAGUGAGACGCAUAGACUCUUUCUUUCAUGCACGUCGUUUCAUUAUGUCCACAGCCGUUUCCCCCACGAGUGCAAUUCCCCCCCCCCCCGGGACACCUCCCACAUGUACGGCCGCUGACCCCUCAGGCCCUGCAAUCUGGAAUAAAUCUUUCCAGACAAGCCGAGCCACAUUACAGCCUCGCAGGUCAAAUACUUGUAUCAC
ensembl:lncRNA